AGUCGGUGGCUCCCGGGCCGCCGGAGCCCAUCAGCUGCCGGGGAGCGCCGUUGCCCGGCCCGUCCCGGCUGCCCGAGGAAGCCAGCGGAGGAGAAAGCAGCUCUGCGGCCAGUUUGAAUUGGCAGGUGUUCAUCUUCAUGAAGGAAAGAAACACUAGAAGCUCUGACUAGAGCUGUAGUGUUUGGUUCAAGAUGCCCCAAAGGGAAAAUACUCAUCUGCAAGUCUCUUCUUUCAAAACUGCCUGUGUUCUUUCAAUCAAAGAAAAACGUUUUUUGAGAAAGAUGACUUGUGAAGUCUGUGAACAAAGCUGUCUUCACAAGGAUACUGAAUGAAAGACAUCAUGCCUUACAAGGGACACUGGUCUUGAAGGGUGACACUGUGCUCUUAAACUAAAACACAGGCACUGUAAAAACACUGAUCCUGAACAAGAAUAAGGAUUAUAAAAACUGCAUCAGAAUGUUUGUUAGUCCCAGAAGAGUCAGAAAAUGCCAUUUUUUGCAGCUGUGUGCCACUUGCUUCAUACUGUGUCUCAUGAUUUUUUGGGUACCAUUUGAUAAUGACAUUGUGAGCCAUAUGAAGUCCUAUUCCUACAGAUACCUCAUAAAUAGCUACCAUUUUGUGAAUGACAGCUUGUCUAUCAGCAGGGAUAACCUGAACAGAGUAUCAAGCUACCAGUACUUGAUCAACCACAGAGAGAAAUGUCAGCAGCGGGAUGUCCUUCUUCUACUGUUUGUGAAGUCUUCUCCUGAAAACCGUCAUCGAAGGGAUGCAAUUAGACAAACUUGGGGUAAUGAGAAGUAUGUUCGUUCUCAACUUAAUGCCAACAUUAAAACCCUUUUUGCUUUAGGACGACCAACACACCAUCUGCAGAAAACACAGCAGCAAAGAGAACUUGAGCAGGAAGACCAGAAAUACCAGGAUUUGAUUCAGCAAGACUUCUUGGAUACUUUUCACAAUCUUACUCUUAAAUUGCUUUUGCAGUUUAGCUGGGUGAAUGCCUACUGUCCUCAUGCCAGGUUCAUUAUGUCUGCAGAUGAUGACAUAUUUAUCCACAUGCCAAAUCUCAUUGCUUAUCUCCAAAGCCUCACACAAAUGGGUGCUCAAGAUCUCUGGAUUGGUCGUGUCCAUCGUGGAUCCCCUCCCAUAAGAGACAAGAAUAGCAAAUACUAUGUUCCAUAUGAAAUGUACCAGUGGCCCUCUUACCCUGACUACACAGCAGGAGCUGCAUAUGUAGUAUCAAAUGAUGUAGCAGCUAAAGUUUAUGAGGCUUCAUUGACUCUGAAUACAAGUCUUUAUAUAGAUGAUGUUUUCAUGGGUCUCUGUGCCAAUAAAAUGGGAAUUGUACCACAAUAUCAUGUAUUUUUUUCUGGGGAAGGAAAGGCUCCAUAUCAUCCCUGCAUUUAUAACAAGAUGAUGACAUCUCAUGGACACGUAGAUGAUCUUCGCCAGCUCUGGAAGCAGGCUACUGAUCCCAAAGUUAAAAAGAUUACUUCAGGGAUUUGGGGUAGAAUGUACUGCAGACUAGUCAAUAUUGUGCUUCUCUGUAAACUGUACUAUGUGGACACAUAUCCUUGUUCAGCUGCGUUUUCUUGAUACUUGAAUAUCUGCAUUGAAGAUCCACUGAGCCAAGACAGAGCAACAACAUUUUAGGUGUUGAUCCAAAAUGAAGCCGUUCCCCUGGAGAUGUGUAUCUGUCUACACAAGAUUUCAGAUCAUACUUUGCACCUCUGGAAAAAGUAGCUGAUGGUCUGGGGACCAGACAUGGUAUUUUCAUAGGGUAUAAUUAAAUUCAGAUAAUUAUGAUUUGUAUGUCUGUCCAAUUUGUCUGACAUAAUGUAUCAAGUUAGGGUUUUUACAAAUGGAGUCAUUUGCAUCAGGUAACUCCAGUGUAUAAGACAAGGGCAUAACUAAAGCACAAAUUUUCUAAACGAUAGUGAAGAAGAGAACAAAGGAAAUUAAGUCAGGAUUGUGGCAUUUGGCUUCUUGCAGGGGGAUUUUGUUGUGGGUUUUUUGUUUUCUGGGGUUUUUAAUUUAAUUGUUCCCUUUGGCCUAGAAAGUUCAGCUAAAACUGGGGUUGCUUGAUAAUUUUUGUUGAAGUAAGUGAUUUAAGUAUCUGGUGCUUUAGAAUGCAUUGAUAAUAAUAUUUUUCUCAAGCUUUUGCAGAAACUUGAGCUUGCAGUUAAAAAACCCAGAAGCCCCUCAGAGGUAUAUAGUCCAAUGUGAAUAUUCUGAACACUAUGAGAAAAUCUUUUAAUAGCAGGUUUUUUUGUAAAUAUAUGCAAGGCUUAUUCUAAUGACUUCUUUUCUCAAAUUUUGUAAUUAAUGCUUCUAAGAGAAAAAACCUGUAAAAAAGCCCCAACACAAACAAAAUAUAACUCUUAUUUGCUUUUUCAUCUGAUAGACUCGGUAUAAAUGCAUGGCUGUAAGCAUUUCAGUGACUUCAUUCUUGCUAAUUAUUUAUUAAUCUUGGGGAACUUCAAAGAGGUUGUAGAGAAUGUGCUACAAUGCAGCGAUUUUUAUUCUAAGAAGAAAAAAAAAAAAUGUGGCUCAUAUGUGCAGCCUUACCUCCUCCUUGUUGACAAGUUCUCAUCACUUUCACUAGUCACCAGGACUCUGCUGGAUCCUCCUUGACUGGCUUCGUGCAUCACUUCAAUCUAAAUGAGAAGGACAUGUUAAAACUGAAAAUACUUAAUUGCUGAUGCUUUUAUUUAGAGAACUUCAACUCUGAAAGAAUAAAAACCAGAUCCUACCUAACCUAGAAAGUCAUCAGACAAGUUCAAAUAAUUGAAUUCUAGAUGUGCAGAAACAUCUCCUAUUUAUAUUCUCCAUCUUUGCUCAGUUUUGGCAUGGAGGCAUUCCUUACUCCAGGCAAAGUCAUUAUAUUCUUGCACCACAGAAGGGGAAUUAUCUCUUUGUGUAGAUAAUUAUGGGCAUAAUAAUCUGUUCCUUAGACUCUGCAAUACUAUUUUUUUCCUGUCUGAAGCCAACACAAAAACUUCACAGCUCCUGAGUUCUUUGUAGAAUGCCCUGUGGAGAAAUGUGGGAAUCCUCCGUGUGCCUCUGAGAAGUGUCUGUGUCCCAGCAUCAGUGCUGGGCGAGGCAGUGCCGUGCACAGGGACCUGUGCAGAGCCCGUGCCCAAGGUGAAACAGAGCUCUUGCACAGCUCCAGUGUUUGUUUUGAUAAACACUCACACACUUCCUUGUCCAGUCUUGCAGAGUUGGAUCAUUUUGAGUGCUCUCCAGGCAAGUUUUAAGCAGGCUUUUCCUCCUGCCUGCAGUUUUAAGAGCAGCGAGCACUUGCACUUACUGAAAAGCCAAUCUAUUCAAAUUCAGUUAAACAACCUAUCUGCUGAGUUUGCUGUUAAUCCAAGCCAAUAUCUAAAUCCCAGCAGAAUCCAACUUCCUGAGCACUUUCAUUUUUAGGGGCUGAUUCUUACAUUCAUAUUGCUAAAUUAUUUAGCUGGUUGAUGAUAAUGAUGGAAUCCAGUAACGAACUAUCCUCAUCUGAACUAUUACCAGAACAAUGGGAGGAUAGGAAGGGGGCAUAAUUUGCAGUGUAGUCGUGGGAAGUGGAUUUAAAAAUUAAUGAAUGGAUGUUUUGUAAAGCCUAUACCACACUGCUGCAUACACCUAACUAUGUGGGAGAAAUGCAACUGAUUAUCUGCAUUACUGAUGAGAGUAAAACUAAUAGUAGAGUCACUUUGAGUCUAGCCAAAGGGGAGACCACCUAUAUGCUCCUGCUGGUAAAUGUUUUAUUCUGUGCUUAUUGCUGAAAUUGUGGGCUGUGCCGGCCAUUUCAGAAAAUGGACUGCAUUUACUUUUUGCUUUCAGCUUUAAAGGAAUAAAGAUGAAAUGUAUGAACAAGUCAGGGAUGUGGAUAACAGAUAAGUUGGGUUAAAGUAGCUUGUCCUUAUCAGAGAGUUAAGCUAGCAAUGCUCCAUUUUUUUUAAUUCCAAGUAUAGGUAUGUAGUUCUCUCACAAUAUGGGAUGUCC